rnacentral:rRNA from 1 species
UACGUAGGGCGCAAGCGUUAUCCGGAAUUAUUGGGCGUAAAGAGCUCGUAGGCGGUUUGUCGCGUCUGCUGUGAAAACGCGAGGCUCAACCUCGCGCCUGCAGUGGGUACGGGCAGACUGGAGUGCGGUAGGGGAGAUUGGAAUUCCUGGUGUAGCGGUGGAAUGCGCAGAUAUCAGGAGGAACACCGAUGGCGAAGGCAGAUCUCUGGGCCGUAACUGCGCUGAGGAGCGAAAGCGUGGGGAGCGAACAGG